GAGAAAGAAGUGCACAACAAUCCUGGUGGACGUUGACUUUCAAUAUCAAGAUUUUAUAUUUGAAGGAUGAAUUUUAAGAUCAACAGUUUGUAUUUUAAGCUUCCGUUUAUUAAAAAUAAAAUCUAACAUCCUUUAAUUGUUCGAGAGCUGUUUAGUUUUUAAUCAGUUCUAGACGUGCAAUUCUUCGUUUUCAUUUUUUAUGCUCCUCCGUAUUACAGGAAAAAGAGAAGAUGAAUUUUCAGCUUCUUUCUCAAUUGAUGGCACAGCAUAGCAGAUUUCAUUAAGCUCCUGAUAAGGGGAUGGAAGGAGAUCAUGUAAUGAAGGACCCUGGUUCUCUGACUCCAGACCUCUCCAUGGCAUCCCCAGGAGCACGAAGGCACAGAGAUUUUAAACCGUCGGCUCAAGAUCACACAGCUACCAGUGGGGAGUAUUUAUAGUUUGAAAGAAGACUAAACGGAGAAAGCAACACUGCGCGGGAAGGCACGGACGGCUGGGUGAGGAGCCGCAGGCCCUGGGGGGACGUCGAUCAGGAUUGAUCCCCUCGCAGCACCCUCCGACACUCUUGCCCUGGAACGGCCUUUGGGAUACAUGCGGAACGUCAGUCCUGUCAGGGAUAUCGUCAAAAGCCAAAUCAAUGAAAAAGGAAAGAUGCCUGUUACUUCACUAAAAAAUUAUAAGACACUGUCCUACUCAUUUUUUCAUUUAUUUAACAAUUAAUUAUUGGGUGGUUGCUAUGUACUAGAGUUAUACCAUCUUUAAUUUUGGGCUCAAUGAAUUGUGCUAAUUUUGGAAAUUAAAACAUAUAAUUCAAAGCAAACAAAAUAAAAAAAUUAAUAAU
rnacentral:lncRNA from 1 species